rnacentral:rRNA from 1 species
UACGGAGGGUACGAACGUUAAUCGGAAUUACUGGGCGUAAAGCGCGCGUAGGCGGUUUGAUAAGUGGGAUGUGAAAGCCCCGGGCUCAACCUGGGAACUGCAUUCCAAACUGUCAAACUAGAGUGUGGUAGAGGGCGGUAGAAUUUCCUGUGUAGCGGUGAAAUGCGUAGAUAUAGGAAGGAAUACCGAUGGCGAAGGCAGCCGCCUGGACCAACACUGACGCUGAGGUGCGAAAGCGUGGGGAGCAAACAGG